GACGUAGGGCGCGAGCGUUGUCCGGAUUUAUUGGGCGUAAAGAGCUCGUAGGCGGCCUGUCGCGUCGUCCGUGAAAACCCGCGGCUCAACUGCGGGCUUGCAGUCGAUACGGGCAGGCUAGAGUUCGGUAGGGGAGACUGGAAUUCCUGGUGUAGCGGUGAAAUGCGCAGAUAUCAGGAGGAACACCGAUGGCGAAGGCAGGUCUCUGGGCAUUAACUGACGCUGAGGAGCGAAAGCAUGGGGGAGCGAACAGG
rnacentral:rRNA from 1 species